rnacentral:rRNA from 1 species
UUAAAAAGCUCGUAGUUGGAUUUCUGCGAGGGUGCCAAUGUCCGCCGACGACGACGUGCGCAGCGGCGCCCUCGACAUCCUUCUGUUACCACCUCUCGGCAUUCACUUGCCGGUGGUCGGCUCAGAGAAUUUACCUUGAGAAAAUUAGAGUGUUUCGGGCAGGCUAGGCCGGAAUACAUUAGACAUGGAAUAAUGGAAUAGGACUACGGUCUCGUUGUUGGUUUGAGGGACUGCAGUAAUGACUAAUAGGGAUAGUUGGGGGCAUUAGUAUUUAAUUGGUCAGAGGUGAAAUUCUCAGAUUUGUUAAAGACUAACUUAUGCGAAAGCAUUUGCCAAGGAUGUUUUCAUUAAUCAAGAACGAAAGUUAGGGGAUCAAAGACGAUCAGAUACCGUCCUAGUCUUAACCAUAAACUAUGCCGACUCGGGAUCGGGGGCGUGAACUAUCCGCCUUCGGCACCGUAUGAGAAAUCAAGUCUUUGGGUUCUGGGGGGAG